rfam:Rattus norvegicus chromosome 3, whole genome shotgun sequence.
GGGGAUUUAGCUCAGUGGUAGAGCGCUUGCCUAGCAAGUGCAAGGCUUUGGGUUCAGUCCCCA